rnacentral:rRNA from 1 species
UAACCAUGCAGUCGAGCGCCCCGCAAGGGGAGCGGCAGACGGGUGAGUAAUGCGUGGGAAUCUAACCAGCUCUACGGAAUAACCCAGGGAAACUUGGACUAAUACCGUAUACGUCCGAUAGGAGAAAGAUUUAUCGGAGUUGGAUGAGCCCACGUUGGAUUAGCUAGUUGGUGGGGUAAAGGCCUACCAAGGCGACGAUCCAUAGCUGGUCUGAGAGGAUGAUCAGCCACACUGGGACUGAGACACGGCCCAGACUCCUACGGGAGGCAGCAGUGGGGAAUAUUGGACAAUGGGCGCAAGCCUGAUCCAGCCAUGCCGCGUGAGUGAUGAAGGCCCUAGGGUUGUAAAGCUCUUUCACCGGUGAAGAUAAUGACGGUAACCGGAGAAGAAGCCCCGGCUAACUUCGUGCCAGC